UACGAAGGGGGCUAGCGUUGCUCGGAAUGACUGGGCGUAAAGGGCGCGUAGGCGGUUUGUACAGUCGGGCGUGAAAUUCCUGGGCUCAACCUGGGGGCUGCGUUCGAUACUGGCAGGCUAGAGUGCGGUAGAGGGUAGUGGAAUUCCCGGUGUAGCGGUGAAAUGCGUAGAGAUCGGGAGGAACACCAGUGGCGAAGGCGGCUACCUGGACCAGCACUGACACUGAGGCACGAAAGCGUGGGGAGCAAACAGG
rnacentral:rRNA from 1 species